GGGGAUUUGAAAUUUGAGAUUGCAAAAUGAAAGUCUUCUGAAGAAGUCGUUGUGGAGGUACAUUGAGGAGAGAAAUGCUUUCUGGAAAGAGGUGAUUAAAGCCGAGUAUGGUGAGCUAACCCCAUGGUGUACAGAGAACACAGUUGAACCUUAAGGGGUGUGGGAGUAUGGAGAACAAUCAGAAGUUUGUGGCCUCAAAUGAAGGCAGACUUUUAUAUCAAAGUGGGAAGUGACAGUAAAACAAGAUUUUGAAAGGAUUUCUGGAUAGAACAGUUCCCUCUAAAGAAUCUCUUCCAAAUUUGUGUGAAUCCUGAUGCUAAUGUAGGUGCCUGUUGGGCCAGAACAGGGAUGGGAUUUAGCCUUCAGAAGACUUGUAAAUGAUUGGGAGGUGGAAAGGGUUGCAGAGUUACUAGGGAAGAUAGAUGGAAUGAGUACGUAUACAAUUUCCACAGACAAGAUGUUGUGGAAUCAUUAAAAAAAGUGGUCUUUAUUCAGUUAGCAGUGUCUACAGAAGAGGUCUCCAGCUGAUAGCUGGGGAUCCAAAACAUCUCUGGAACUAUUUCUGGAAUGGGGACAUUCCUACAAAAGUGAAAUGUCUCACUUGGCUAGUGAUGAAGAGGGCAUGUUUAACACAGGAAGUACUACAGAAGAAGGGCAGACAGCUGGUCCCUAGGUGCUUUUUAUGCAAUUUGACAAGAGAAACUGACAGCCACCUAUUCUUGCCUUGUAAUUUACAAAGCAAACCUGGAAUUUGUUUCUUUGCAUCUCUAGUCUGAACUGGACAAUGCCAGAACAUACUUUAGAGUUGUUAAAGAUCUGGGUAGUCUGAACUGGACAAUGCCAGAACAUACUUUAGAGUUGUUAAAGAGCUGGGUUAGGAGAGGAGGCAGCAAGAGUCAAAAGAGAUGGUGGAGUUAAGUCCAUCAUGUAUAUAUAAUUGAAAUUUUGUUACCAUUUGUUUCUUCCAUUUGCAUGCAUUUGUCUGGGGAUGAUCCUGCUGAACCCAAGCUUGAUAUGUGAAUCAUUUCCUCUUCAAGACAAGCUGAAGAGCCAUCCUGUCCAGAAAUCUCUUCACCAACUUCCAGCUUUUGGUCAUCACGAGCUAAGAGAUGCGGCUUCAUCUCAGAAGCUGCAGUUUCAACACAGAUGUUCUGGCUUAGCCUCUGCCUCUUUGUGAUGAUUUAACUUACUGGAUUCUCAGAAAUCUAAUGGUCAACCUGAAAAGCAAAGUGAUCAUAUCAUACCCAUUAGUGUAUGAAAUAUGAGCGAGUUGGUUUAUGUUUCAGUUUUGUUUGACCCAUUUUCAACUCAUUUGCCGGCACCAUUAAUAUCUUACGGGGAAGAGCCUUGCAUAUUCUUUAUAUGGAAAAGUAUUUAGUUUUUAUGUCACGAUAAAAUUAUCUUACAUGAGCAAAUUAAUGAUCAAUGCAUAAUGGCAUAUUGAUUCUUGAAAGAAACAUCAAGUAAGUUGAAUAUUGGUCACUAAAACAAGACAAGCAAGGCAUCCUUGUUGUCUAUUGAG